ensembl:misc_RNA Metazoa_SRP Metazoan signal recognition particle RNA
GCCGGGUGUGGUGGCGCACACCUGUAGUCCCAGCUACUCAGGAGGCUGAGGUAGGAGAAUCACUUGAACCCAGGAAGUGGAGGUUGCAGUAAGACAAGAUCAUGCUAUUGCACUACAGCCUGGGUGACAGAGUGGGACCCUGUCUCUA